CCUACGGGAGGCAGCAGUGGGGAAUUUUGGACAAUGGGCGCAAGCCUGAUCCAGCAAUGCCGCGUGAGUGAAGAAGGCCUUCGGGUUGUAAAGCUCUUUUGUCAGGGAAGAAACGGUGUGGGCUAAUAUCCCGCACUAAUGACGGUACCUGAAGAAUAAGCACCGGCUAACUACGUGCCAGCAGCCGCGGUAAUACGUAGGGUGCAAGCGUUAAUCGGAAUUACUGGGCGUAAAGCGUGCGCAGGCGGUUUUGUAAGUCUGUCGUGAAAUCCCCGGGCUCAACCUGGGAAUUGCGAUGGAGACUGCAAGGCUAGAAUCUGGCAGAGGGGGGGUAGAAUUCCACGUGUAGCAGUGAAAUGCGUAGAGAUGUGGAGGAACACCGGAUGGCGAAGGCAGCCCCCUGGGUCAAGAUUGACGCUCAUGCACGAAAGCGUGGGGAGCAAACAGGAUUAGAUACCCUGGUAGUCCACGCCCUAAACGAUGUCUACUAGUUGUUCGGGUUUUAAUUACGUUAGUAACGCAGCUACGCGUGAGUAGACCGCCGUCGGGAGGUACGGUCGGUCGAGUUAAGUUAAACUAACGUUAAGUUAGUAAGUUAGAGGCGUGAGACGNGCCGACGGACGACGACGAGGGAGGAGG
rnacentral:rRNA from 1 species